UACGAAGGGGGGCUAGCGUUGUUCGGAAUUACUGGGCGUAAAGCGCACGUAGGCGGACAUUUAAGUCAGGGGUGAAAUCCCGGGGCUCAACCCCGGAACUGCCUUUGAUACUGGGUGUCUUGAGUGUGGUAGAGGUGAGUGGAAUUGCGAGUGUAGAGGUGAAAUUCGUAGAUAUUGGGAAGAACACCGGUGGCGAAGGCGGCGACCUGGUCCUUGACUGACGCUGAGGCGCGAAAGCGUGGGGAGCAAACAGG
rnacentral:rRNA from 1 species